GAUGAACGCUGGCGGCGUGCUUAACACAUGCAAGUCGAACGAGAAGUGGAGACGGAAACCUUCGGGCGGAAGACUUUAUUUCGAGUGGCGGACGGGUGAGUAACGCGUGGGUAACCUGCCUCAUACAGGGGGAUAACAGUUGGAAACGACUGUUAAUACCGCAUAAGACCACAGCACCGCAUGGUGCGGGGGUAAAAACUCCGGUGGUAUGAGAUGGGCCCGCGUUCGAUUAGCCAGUUGGCGGGGUAACGGCCCACCAAAGCGACGAUCGAUAGCCGAUCUGAGAGGAUGACCGGCCACAUUGGGACUGAGACACGGCCCAAACUCCUACGGGAGGCAGCAGUGGGGAAUAUUGCACAAUGGGGGAAACCCUGAUGCAGCGACGCCGCGUGAGUGAAGAAGUAUUUCGGGAUGUAAAGCUCUAUCAGCAGGGAAGAAAAUGACGGUACCUGAGGAAGAAGCCCCGGCUAACUACGUG
rnacentral:rRNA from 1 species